rnacentral:lncRNA from 1 species
UCCCCUCCUUUUCAAAUCUAGUAGCCAAUGACUUUAAUGUAACCCAUUCUGCUUAGUGAUAGGCUAUUGUAUGUGUCAAAAUGCCACAGCUUCUUUGAAGGUUCACCAUCAAGAUUUACUCCAAACUCCUUGAAUACAAGUGUGAGGAACAUCCCAUAAGGUACAACUGGUUUUGCAUGUGAAGCAGCAUCUUGCAUUACCUUGAUCAUGAGAGCUGGAAGGUUGAAGGGUAUUUCUUUGAUGAUAUGAUGC